rfam:Bdellovibrionales bacterium RIFOXYB2_FTLL_36_6 rifoxyb2_full_scaffold_6235, whole genome shotgun sequence.
GGCUGGAUAGCUCAGAUGGUUAGAGCGGCGGAUUCAUAUCCCGCAGGUCCCGUGUUCGACUCACGGUCCAGCCA